UACGUACCGUACGAACGUUAUUCGGAAUUACUGGGCUUAAAGGGUUUGUAGGCGGCCUUGUAAGUCAGACGUGAAAUCCCCAGGCUUAACCUGGGAACUGCGUCUGAUACUGGAUGGCUUGAAUUCGGGAGAGGGAUGCAGAAUUCCAGGUGUAGCGGUGAAAUGCGUAGAUAUCUGGAGGAAUACCGGUGGCGAAGGCGGCAUCCUGGACCGAGAUUGACACUGAUGAGCGAAAGCCAGGGGAGCAAACGGG
rnacentral:rRNA from 1 species